GACUGGUCUAAAGUUUCCUGGACUUGUUUUGCUCAUUCUGAAGCGCGCGAUGAUUGGCUGACCGGCACCAGAGGUUUGUGCUCUUUGGCGCCUACCGGAUCUGUGUGGAUGGAGCUACUCGGGUUGCCUCUGCUGUCAUUAGGAUCUAAGGCACCCUGCUGAGGCCGCGUUAUUGUAGUAAAGGGACAGGCUGGUACGGACGCCCUGGCUGUCCUGGAACUCACUCUGUAGACCAGGCUAGGCUGGCCUAGAACUCAGAAAUCUGCCUGCCUCUGCCUCCCAACUGCUGGGAUUAAAGACGAGCGCCACCGCCCGGUUUGCCUAGCACAUUCUUGCUCCGUUAUUUGCGGAAGAAAGGGAUAUGCACACAAUCCCCGCGGUUAUCUAAGUAGAUUUGAGGCAGGAACGAAGAAAGAGGAACAGAGCUAAGUACACUGUAGCUGUCUUCAGAUGCACCAGAAGAGGGCAUCAGAUCUCAUUGUCUUUGGAAGAGCAGUCGGUGCUCUUAACCACUGAGCCAUCUCUCCAGCCCACGUAUAGUCUGAGCCUUACUUAUCCCAGCAUGUUGCUAACCUAUGGAGGCCAAGAUGGCUAAGGGCCACCAAGCUAGGAUUUCCGGGGACCCAGGGUAUCUGUAGCCCCAGUUUGCUGGAAGACACAUGAAUUGCUGGCCGCAAUUGAGGGCAUUUGAGCCUUGCAGUGAAUCCUGUAAGCUUCCUCUCUGCUAGGAAAGCCAACUCCUGCUUUUGUUUGAAACUUGGUAUGAAAGCCAUAUUGGAUGUGGAACUGGAAGAAUCACAAUAUGUUUAAGUGUAUCCUCAAGAGAUGACACUACUCAGCCCUGUAGUGGUCCCUGACAAUCCUGUGGCCAGUGACUUCUUGAAGGCACAGAGCUAGGAACAGAGGAUGUGCUUCAAGUCUGGCCACAGCUCUCUCUUGUGCUGCCGAUGCUCUGUGGGAUGACAUCUGGCUCAGGAUCAGAUCAGCCCGGUCCACUGUCCAUACUGGAAGGAACAUUGACAUCCAAGGAUGCCUGUGCAGUUGCAUUGGGAGCCAAUGGUCUCAGCACCUAGUCAUAGCCAGUAUCUUCCCUUCAUGAAGGUAUUUGCAACUUUGCUGCUCAUUCCUGGCAGCCUGGAAGUCCUUGUUGCUGCUCAACCCUGUUGGCUUUCUUUCCCCCCCUAGGGGAGCUUAGUGUCAUAUGUAAACAUAGACAGGUCCCUGGGGUCUCUCUGGAUAAGCACUGGAAAGAAGCUCAAUCCCCCAGGCUAGCUGCAGUACCAGCUGGGACCAAGGCCUGUCUGUGUGCACAGCAGGAUGGGGUCUGGGACUGUGGUUCCAGAGACCUGACUUCAGGAGUGGAAACCUGCAUGCUGACUCCUGCCUGCAGGCACUGACAGACACACAUGGUCCACUUUGUGCAUAUCACCUUGAUUGUUUUUCAUGUCCAUCAUAGAAAAGAGUGAUUAAAAAUGAAAGAAAGG
rnacentral:lncRNA from 1 species